rnacentral:rRNA from 1 species
GACGAACGCUGGCGGCGUGCUUAACACAUGCAAGUCGAACGAUGACGACCGAUCUUGCUCGGUCUGAUUAGUGGCGAACGGGUGAGUAACACGUGAGCAACCUGCCCUUCACUCUGGGAUAACCUCGGGAAAUCGGGGUUACUACCGGAUAUCAGCUCCUGUUGCAUGGCGGGUGUAGGAAAGUUUGGCGGUGAAGGAUGGGGCGGCGGCUCAUCUGUUUGUUGGUGGGGUAGUGGCUAACCACGUCGACGAGGGGUGGCCGGCCGGAGAGGGCGACCGGCCAAACGGGGACUGGGAAACGGCCCGAACUCCUACGGGAGGCAGCGGUGGGGAAUAUUGCACAAUGGGCGAAAGCCUGAUGCAGCGAGGCCGCGGGGGGGAUAACGGCCUUCGGGUUGUAAACGUCUUUCGGCGGGGAGGAGGCGAUAGUGACGGUACCUGCAGAAGAAGCGCCGGCUAACUACGUG